rnacentral:rRNA from 1 species
CAGCCGCCGCGGUAAUACAGAGGGUGCGAGCGUUAAUCGGAUUUACUGGGCGUAAAGCGUGCGUAGGCGGCUUCUUAAGUCGGAUGUGAAAUCCCUGAGCUUAACUUAGGAAUUGCAUUCGAUACUGGGAAGCUAGAGUAUGGGAGAGGAUGGUAGAAUUCCAGGUGUAGCGGUGAAAUGCGUAGAGAUCUGGAGGAAUACCGAUGGCGAAGGCAGCCAUCUGGCCUAAUACUGACGCUGAGGUACGAAAGCAUGGGAGCAAACAGGAUUAGAUACCCCCGUAGUCCCUGUCUCUUAUACA